rnacentral:tRNA from 1 species
UGGCUCAGUUGGUUAAGCGUCUGACUUCAGCUCAGGUGAUGAUCUUGCUUUGUGGGUUCGAGCCCCAC